UACAGAGGUCCCGAGCGUUGUUCGGAUUCAUUGGGCGUAAAGGGUGCGUAGGCGGCGGGGCAAGUCUGAUGUGAAAUCCCGGGGCUCAACCCCGGAACUGCAUUGGAUACUGCCUUGCUAGAGUACUGGAGAGGGAACUGGAAUUUACGGUGUAGCAGUGAAAUGCGUAGAGAUCGUAAGGAAGGCCAGUGGCGAAGGCGAGUUCCUGGACAGUGGCUGACGCUGAGGCACGAAGGCCAGGGGAGCAAACGGG
rnacentral:rRNA from 1 species